CGGUGUUUAGCUGGCGUGAUGUGGGACGUCCUACCGGUGGGCUUACCCUCGCGAGGGGCGGCCCAACUAAUAUCCCGUCGCGGUGCUCUUUACUGAGUGUCGAGUCGGGCCGGUACGUUUACUUUGAACAAAUUAGAGUGCUUAAAGCAGGCUAUCCUCGCCUGAAUACUGCGUGCAUGGAAUAAUGGAAUAGGACCUCGGUUCUAUUUUGUUGGUUUUCGGAACCCCGAGGUAAUGAUUAAUAGGGACAGAUGGGGGCAUUCGUAUUGCGACGUAGAGGUGAAAUUCUUGGAUCGUCGCAAGACGGACAGAAGCGAAAGCAUUUGCCAAAAAUGUUUCAUUAAUCAAGAACGAAAGUUAGAGGUUUCGAAGGCGAUCAGAUACCGCCCCUAGUUCUAACCAUAAACGAUGCCAGCUAGCGAUCCGCCGAAGUUCCUCCGAUGACUCGGCGGGCAGCUUCCGGGAAACCAAAGCUUUUGGGUUCCGGGGGAAGUAUGGUUGCAAAGCUGAAACUUAAAGGAAUUGACGGAAGGGCACCACCAGGAGUGGAGCCUGCGGCUUAAUUUGACUCAACACGGGAAACCUCACCAGGCCCAGACACCGGAAGGAUUGACAGAUUGAUAGCUCUUUCUUGAUUCGGUGGGUGGUGGUGCAUGGCCGUUCUUAGUUGGUGGAGCGAUUUGUCUGGUUAAUUCCGAUAACGAACGAGACUCUAGCCUGCUAAAUAGGCGUACCUUAUGGUAUCGCGAAGGCCCCCGGCUUCGGCCGGUGGGUUUUUACUACCAACGUACAAACAAAUCUUCUUAGAGGGACAGGCGG
rnacentral:rRNA from 1 species